rfam:Triticum aestivum genome assembly, contig: Triticum_aestivum_CS42_TGACv1_scaffold_591793_7BS
GAUUUACUCCCUCCGUUUGGAAUUACUUGUCUCGAAAAUGGAUGUAUCUAGAACUAAAAUACAUCUAGAUACAUCCAUUUCUACGACAAGUAAUUCUGAACUGAGGGAGUACAAA